GGGGGCGACAUGGCUUCGACGCUGAUGACAACCCCUUAGGUGCAUGCCGAGAGCGUGAUGUAUCUCGUAAAUCCAACAUCACAAUUGAAUAGUCGCAAACGACGAAAACUACGCUCAGGGCGCUCUGGCAGCUUAAACCCCUGCCCGUCCUACCCAGAAGCAACGCGCCUGGUCGUUGCCGAUGGGACAUGAGCUCGUAUAGCCAGGAUCGCGUUUGGUUCUGUUCUCGCGCCAGACGUUAAACUUUAGAGAAAUCGCACGCUGGAAUCCUGCCCGUUGGAGUCCAGAGUGUUAAAUCAAAUAACGGAACUAAGCAUGUAGAGCCGAUGGGCGAGUGUCGGCGGACGCGGGUUCGAUCCCCGCCGCCUCCACCA
rnacentral:tmRNA from 1 species